rnacentral:lncRNA from 12 species
AUGCCAGGAGCUGCUGACAGCCUCUGCAUCCUAUGGUUGCCUUCAGUGCAGUGGGUCUGGGGACCAAGAGGUGGCAUAACAAGUGCUCUCUGGCUGCACACUCUCGGGCUCCGUGAAGGGUGCACACUGAUCUCCCCCUCCGCUUCUCUCCUAAGAGAAGAAGAAGAGCAUCUUCACACCUGUAGAUGCUCAUUACGUCCUGUCCUCUGGUGUGUCCUUGGAACUCAUGGCUUCCUCUGGCUCUUAGAUACUGCUUCCCCCACACAGACACCUUAUUACCUUGGCAUAAUUAUUGGAGGAUUCAUAACAAUACAGAGCAAUUCCAAAAAAAAAAAAAUUGGUCACCAACACAGACCUCAGAGUGAGGGAUCGAAAAAUCAGGGUUGGGGCUCCAGGGCCCGGUGGUGCUGGGGGAACCGUCAGGGCUUGGGGGGUUGGGGGGGCGUAGGGCAGGUCCUGAGCUACUUUGUAGCAGCCACACCCCCACUUUGUGGGUUAAGUGAGCAGAAUGAAACCUUAGCAAGGCCAAGAGCCCUGGGAGAGAACAGGAACCACAGGGCACCCAUCUGCUGCUGGUUCCUGAUGCCCCGGCUCUGGCUGCUACCCCCCGAGUGCCCUGUGUGUCACACCCGCCCCUGAGCCUGGGCCUCCAGGAGCCUCACACAGCAGCAGCCUCCCCUUCUGCUAACUCCCCAGUCCAGGGCGCUGCACCAGAGGCCACAGCGUGGGGCGGGGGGCUGAGGAACACGACCCUCCGGGCCUGGGAGGGCAUGGGGGGCGCCCAGUGCGUGAGAACCUGUGUGCACUUGUGCAAGGGUCACCUGUGCGAGUACGGGCCACACGGGCUCGUGCCCAGGGGUGCAGGGGCAGCCCUGCCCCCCGCUUGUUGAGCAGCAGGAAGCCCCCCCCCACCCCCCACCCACAGCCUCGGCAGAGCGAGGACAGGCUGGUGGGGCAGGUGCCAACAGCUUGGAACUGGCCUCAGCCUUGUGUGCUGGCCCCGCGGUGACUCUGAAGAGGCAGCAGGCCCCUGCUCUGGAUGCCACGGUGCCCUCUCCCGUCCCCUGCACCCUAGACCCCCCCCCCCCCAAGGCUGGAGUCCUUUCACACAGGCCCCUGGCCCCAUCUUGCAGUCGCCCGGCGCUCCGGGACACCAGGCAGAGAAACGGAGGAAAUGUUCGCGGGUUGGUGUCCGUGCUACAAAAACAGGGCCUGGAGGUGGAGGGAGGGUAACGGUGGCACCGACUUCAGGCAGUGGGGACAUCCCAGGGGUGGUGUUAAGGCGGAAGGACUGGCAGUAGCUGCCCAUGGAGAGGCGACGGGGAACAGCAUUCCAGGCGCAGGGAAGGGUGUGUGCGAAGGCGCUGAGGCGGGGAGUUCGCCGAUGUCUGGAGCCAGGUGUGCGAGGCCGUGCGGGAGGCAGGGCCGGGGUGCGACCAGCGGGGCUUGCGUGUGCACUUUUUCCAAAGAGUGAGAGGAGACGCGAAGUCAUCAAGACGUUCCAGGCGGCGAGGGGCCUUAUCCGCCACGCGCUUUGCUGUGACUCCAUCUCCCUGGCGGCCGCGGGGGCCGGAGAGAGCCAGCCGGGCUCUGCUGCGGUUGUCGUUGGAGGGUGAAGCCGACGGUCCCGCACGGGGCG